rnacentral:rRNA from 1 species
UGACUCUAGCCCAAGCACACAUUCACCCAACUAUAACAACUCAUUAAGCUAAAGCAUUUAACCACUCAGGAGUAUAGGAGAUAGAAACUCUACCAAGGCGCUAUAGAGAAAGUACCGUAAGGGAAAGAUGAAAGAUGAAUCAACAGUAAGAAAAAGCAAAGAUUAACCCUUGUACCUUUUGCAUAAUGAGCUAGCCAGAACAAAUUUAGCAAAGAGAACUUAAGUUAAAUACCCCGAAACCAGACGAGCUACUUAUAAACAGCUAAUAGAGCAAAUUCAUCUAUGUUGCAAAAUAGUGAAGUGAUUUGUAAGUAGAGGUGACAAGCCAACCGAGCCUGGUGAUAGCUGGUUGUCCAGCAUAGAAUUUUAGUUCAACUUUAAAUCUACCUAAAGAAAAGUUAAUCCAAAUGUAGACUUAAAUGUUAAUCUAAGGGGGUACAGCUCCUUAGAACUAGGCAAAACCUUAAUUAGAGAGUAAAAACCUGCAUACCCAUAGUUGGCCUAAGAGCAGCCACCAAUUAAGAAAGCGUUCAAGCUCAACAGUAAGCAAAUACUUUAAUCCCAUAAACCACAGUCAACUCCUAAACCCAAACUGGACCAAUCUACACCAAUGUAGAUGAGACACUGCUAGCAUGAGUAACGAGAAAUAAUUCUCCCUGCACAAGCCUAUAUCAGAUCGGAUGCCCACUGAUAGUUAACAGUCCAAUAAAACUAAAUCCUAACUCAAGAUGCCUAUUUUAUAAACUGUCGACCCAACACCGGAGUGCACUUAGACCCAAGGGAAAGAUUCAAAAGAGNAAAAGGAACUCGGCAAA